AGGUGGCAAUGAUGAUAAUUUUACUCAUUCACCUGACAAUAUCUGAAGGUGUUCAGUCACUACCUCAUCUGAUGCCAUCU
rnacentral:snoRNA from 14 species